rnacentral:rRNA from 2 species
CGAGUGAAUUAGGAAAAGUCCAGCGCUGAAUCUUACGAUAUUGUAUCGUUAAGAGAUGUGGCGUAUAGGUAUGGUUUUCGAUUUGUUUCAUAUAUCCAAAGUUCCUUUGAUAGGGACCAAUAUCCGAAGAGGGUGCAAGACCUGUACGGAUAAUGAGACAACGUGUUGAACUAUACUUUGGAGUCGGGUUGCUUGAAAAUGCAGCCUUAAGUUGGUGAUAAACUUCAUCUAAGACUAAAUAUUAACGCGAAUUCGAUAGCAAACAAGUACUGUGAAGGAAAGUUGCAAAGAACUUUGAAGAGAGAGUUCAAGAGAACGUGAAAUCGUUGAAGUGGAAACGGAGAGAGUUAAUAUAGUCUAGUGAAUAAAUGUUAUAAAUAUCGUAUAGAAUAUAAUACGAUAUAUAAUAACAUGUAUGUCACUAAUCACUACGUUAACAACAUUAAUAGCACAAUCUGAAUUAAACAUGUUGCCCAUUAUUGUUAUAUAAUAGUGGUGCUUAAUGUUUAAUAAUAAAGUUUGUUGCAUAUUUUAUUAAUGUGUUUAUUAUCGAAUCGAUAAUGUUAACGUGAACGUUAAUCACCUCUCUGACCCGUCUUGAAACACGGACCGAGGAGUGUAACUUGUACGCAAGUGAAUAGAUGUGAUAAAUCUAUAAGCGUAAUGAAAAUAAAGGCACGUGUACAACGGUUAACAUGGGAGAUAUUUUCGUAUUAUUAUACGGAAAAUAUUACACCAUGGCCCUGUCUAAUCUGCAUGCAGAUGGGCAGUGGUAGAGCGUACAGGUUGCGACCCGAAAGAUGGUGAACUAUGCCUGAGCAGGAUGAAGUCAGAGGAAACUCUGAUGGAGGUCCGUAUCGGUUCUGACGUGCAAAUCGAUCGAUAGACUUAGGUAUAGGGGC